CCGAGCGGGUAGCCAGAGUUAGAUUAUGUGACUGCCUUUUAAACUCUUUAAGGCCGGAAAUACGUGUGGCGAGAUGUUACCAGAGCGAGAAACAAAGGCAAUUAACCGUUUGUAACAUGUCUUAGAUCUUGAGGAAAACUGGAAUUGCAACUUAGGUUUUAUCUACUUUAUGAACUUGCAGCAGCAUGGCAAAGGAGACGGGAUCUUACAGGACUUUGUUACAAAGUAUGUUUUCAAGGAAUUGGAAUUGGGAGGAUAGAUAAGGUCCGCUGGUCACAGAAAAACAGGCAGUUAACGUUCCUUUUACUUUAGUUUCGGGGGAGGCGGAAGAGAAAGAGAGAGAGAGGACACAGGGAAACUUACAGCAAAAGUUUCGAUGUUUAUAGCUUUCUUGGGGAAGAAAACACAUGCACAGAUCCUGGUGUUAGGAAUAUUUUAAGCAUGUAUCUUCAAUAUUAUUCAUCCAGGACCGAAGUAAGUCCUGAUGCAGGAAAUGAGUGACUUUCACAGCUUUCUGAGCCCCUACUCAACCCAGGAAGUCCAGCUGGCACCUCCUCUGGAUCACAAGGUACUCACCGCUACCCUGCGUUCCUGCAUAGACUUCCAUCAGAGAGAACAUGUUAGGAAAGUUAAAUUGCAGUAAGCACAUCACAGCAAUGACGAGGACAGGUACUUUUCUGGGAAACACUGGAAGACAGCUGGAGAGGAUUCUGCUGCUGUGAAAGCACCUAAAGCCUCCUUGACUCAGCCUCACAUCCUAUCUUCAAGAAAACAUCAUAUGGUUAUUAUAUAAACCUCUUACGGGAUUUCUAAGGUUAAUUUCAAUAUAUAAAUGGCUACUCAACAGAAUCAAGGGCUGCGUGGUUGUGUUUGCCAAGGUUCUUCUCGUCAAAAUCUG
rnacentral:lncRNA from 10 species